GUGAAUGAGCAUGUUUCAUGUGUUUCACAGUGGCAAAAGGAUUGUGUUUUUGUACGCAGGCGCUGUGCUUGUUGCAGAAGAAAAUAAAAUAUCGAUUUUCAUGGAGUAGUUUUGGUGUGUGGUAUCUGAAAUUUUCUCACUUGUGGAAAAUAGAGCUGGGUGCUGUGAGAAAAGUGUUGAGUUUGUGCGAAAGGUCGGCACCAUCCGCAGAGGCCAUCAGAGUCAAAUGGAUAUCUAGUAACAGAUCGCCCUGCCCCAAAACACACUUCCACACGAAAAUCUUCUCCGUUCUUAACUAACCAAGAGAACCUCCACGAGCUGAGAGUGUGCCGUUUGAGCUUCUUGUUCCGUGUUCCGAGGAUACCGUAGUGAAAUCACGACAGAAGGCAGCUUGAGCAGUGAAUCAUGACGAAGGAUAGAUUAGCAGCACUUGUCGCGGCCCAGAGCGACGACGAUGACGUGGGGCCGGACGAAGUUGCUGUUAAUGUGGAGGGACGGGAUGGGUUUAUGGAUGACUUCUUCAAUGAAGUCGAAGAGAUACGGGAGAUGAUAGAUAAAAUCCAGACAAAUGUGGAGGAAGUCAAGAAGAGACACAGUGCAAUUCUAUCAGCGCCUCAAUCUGAUGAGAAGACAAAGCAAGAGUUGGAGGAUCUUAUGGCCGACAUAAAGAAAACUGCCAAUAGAGUCCGUACUAAGCUAAAGGGCAUUGAACAGAACAUCGAACAAGAGGAACAGGCAAACAAGUCCAGUGCUGACCUACGAAUACGCAAAACACAGCAUUCAACUCUCUCGAGGAAAUUCGUUGAGGUGAUGACGGAAUACAAUCGGACUCAGACAGACUACAGAGAACGAUGCAAAGGGAGGAUACAGAGACAGUUAGAAAUUACGGGUAGAACUACAACCAAUGAGGAGCUGGAGGAGAUGUUGGAGCAAGGGAAUCCAGCGGUAUUCACUCAAGGAAUUAUUAUGGAAACGCAACAAGCCAAACAGACUCUGGCAGAUAUUGAAGCUCGACAUGCAGAUAUUAUUAAAUUAGAGAAUUCAAUCAGAGAACUUCACGAUAUGUUUAUGGAUAUGGCUAUGCUAGUCGAGAGUCAGGGUGAUCUUGUGGAUAAUAUUGAGCAUCAUGUUUCACAAAGUGGAGCGCACGUGGAGGAAGCUCGAGGGGAGCUUACAAAAGCCAGGGAAUAUCAGUCAAAAGCCAGAAAGAAAAAAAUUUACAUAAUGAUUUGCCUGCUAAUUACGUUAGUGAUUAUAGCAAUUAUUUUAGCAAUACAGCUAUCCUAAAAGAAAAAUCUUCACACGCGGUAUUAAUUUAUAAAAUAAUUACAAAAAAAAAACAUAUAAGUUUGUAUGACUUAUUGGAUAAUAGAUGAAAAAAAUACAAAAAAAUAUUCGAAAAAAUAUAAAUGGAUUAAAUGUGACAAAAAAAAACUUUGAAAUUUCUUGGAGGAUUGACAUGAAAAUUUGUUUAUUUCCCUUUUUGAUGCAUUCACUGCCAUUUGCCCGUUUAUUUUUUGAAUAAAUAUUAUUUUUUGAAAAUUAAAACAAAAUGAAUUUCUUUUGAAGUUUUAGCAUUAGUUAAUUAGUGCUACCAUUUUUAUUAUUAAAUUGAUUCUCAGCUCUUAUGCAGAAAUAACUUUUACACGUGCAUGGAAUGUUCUUCAAAAUGCGAAAAGAAUUUUACAGGUGAAAACUUCUAACGACAGUUGGGUUUUGAAUUAACCUGAAACGUGUUUAUUUGAGUUAUUUUGCUUCCUUUUUACUUUUUUUUUAUUCUGCAAAAAAUGAAUUCUAAAGGUUCCAUAACUCUCACUGGAUUUUUGUUGUUGAAAUUUUCAAUUUAGGGAAAUCUCUGAAGAAUCUUUUCAGUUAUCGAUUUUAGAAUACGUAUUUAUAGCCACUUCUUUUUCCGGUCUAUUAUUAGAACAUUAUGCAUCUUAUUGUAAAGAAAGCUCGAAAGCUCUAAAGGGGAAUUUAUCUUGUUAAACAUUUCAUAAAGUGUCUACAAAUCCCAAAUGAGACGUUUGUAGAUCUCAGAUAAAUGAAAUUUUGCAAGUGAUUAAGAGAUAUUUCAAUAGAUAUAUGUUUCACUGCACUGUUGUACUCAAUUCAGUGCAAUUUUGAUGCAGUUCUAAAGCUGAAUUAAUUUCUAUAGCUCUGUGCAAAAUCUAAUCGCAAUAAAUCUUUAAUUGAUUAAUUUUCGACAAAUGAGGUUCUAUUUCUCUAAAAAUUAAAUAGCAAAUUAACUACGAUUUUAUUUUCUCUGACUUGAUUCGUGAUUUUUGAUACUUUCUAACCCGUUAGGGGAUGACCUAAUUUUGAGCUUUUGCACGCGACUUUAAUUUGUUUUUUGAUGAAUUAAGUUCUGCAGGAACAUUUCUGCUUGAUAGGAAGAAAAUUUUCUUUGAAAUCAAAUAUCUUUUCAUGGAAAAUCUUGAGGCAAAUCAAUGUCGUAAAAAUUCAUUUCUUUCAAAAUAAAAUAUUUGUAGGUCUCUCAGAAUACCUUUAUAACAAUCAAAGGGUUCUACCAAUCUCUCUAAAUCUUCAGUUCAAAUUUAAUCUACUAUGAUACAAUGUUUAGUACGUAGUUUAAAAUUUAGUAUGUACCUACUAAAUUGCUAACCGAGCAUAUUCCAUAAUGUUCACAGUCCAUAAGCUUCCCACGAAAUGUAGCUUUAAAAAUUAAUCAGAUUUUCAACGCAGAACUAUCUCAAAUUUCUAUAUUGACCAAGAACAACCAACAUUUAUGAGCAAAAUGUGUUUCAGCAAUAAUUGUUAGUUAGUCAAUAAAAUGCCACGUUUACCAUAAUUUUAUCCCCAAACAACAACAAAUAAGCGCACAAUCUGAAAACUAUGUGUGCGAGGAAAAAUAAAAUGAUAGUGGAACUUCAAAGUAUAAUCCUUCAUUAUUUCACACAUUUAUUUAAUUUUGCGGUUAUGAUUUAAUUAUGUAAUGCUCAAAAGUAUGCAAAUUAAAACACUAGUGGGGCAAAAAGGUUUUUUUUUUAUUUUAAUUAUAAAUGCUACAAAAGUUUUUUUGUGUGCUCAUGUUUCAGGUUAAUAUUAUAUUAAGGGAAUUUUUUUUCAUGACGUCAAAGGGGGUGAAAAUAAUAUAAAAGGGUGAAUGGAAUUGGUUUAAAGUGCAUCAGAAUAAUUUCAAAUUCAAUUUGUCAUUUUUCUGAGCUUUAAAUCUACUUUGCAUCGAAGCUCCAGUAAUGAUUUUAAUUUGAGGAAUGUUAAACCAAUGAACACUCUGUUUGAGUUUUUGAACCAAUCAGGGAGAAGUUCGUAUUCUUCUUCUUAUUUAUUGAUAUUUCAAAAGGAGAUUACAGCUGCGAUUUGAUUGGGUAGUAAAGUGAACUCCACCCAUAUCCUAUCAUACUGAUAGAUUACUGUUUACGAGUUUCUUUGAAUCCUUUUACAUGAUUAGAACCUACCCUAUUUGUAUUUUUCACCCGAUUAUAAAAAAAAAACAAAUAAAAAAGUUUUGAGUGCUUGUUAAAAAAUUCUUUAGCAUUUUGAUGGAUAUUUCAUUGUGUGAAAGAUAACCACGCUUGCGAGUUUUUUUAUAGUUCUUUUCUUAUAUCUCACGUAGUGAUGUUGAUGAAAGAAUUUUGUAGCGUUAGAGGUUAUUAAAAUAGUAACAUUACAUUAUAAAAAUAAAUCUAGGAUAAAUAUAAUACUAAUACCAUGCACUUUAUAUGCACACCCCGCCCAUGCAGAAGAAGAUCAUGAUUCUGCUAUGUCUCACUGUCCUGGGUAUUAUUGUGGCCGCCUACGUCAGUAGCUACUUUAUGUAAAAGAACAUAUAUAAAGUAAAUAGGCAUAAAAUGAGAAUGAAAAAAAGUUGUGAAGUCAGCAAAAAUGCUACCACCAUUCACCAUCGAAUGAAAAUCAUCACCAUUAUCACCAAAAAAAAAUAACAGCAAAACAGAAGCAAAACCCAGCAUUUUAAAUGAAAAAUUCAAAAUAAUAAUAAAUAGAAGUGUCCAAAAAAUAUAAAGCUAUCAAUAACUGUUGUGUGGAUAUUAUGAUUUAAAAGUUUUGUUCUAUGUUUUUCUCGUAAAACUCAAACCACUCACCGACACCACCAAAUAAUUAAUCACACACUUCUUAUUCGUUUUUUUUUAUUUUUAAAAAGAAAAGAAGAGAAGUUUGUAAUGUAAACCAAUUUAUUUGUGUUCCUUUCGACGUUAUAUUGUGGUUUAUAUAUACCUAUACGUUAUGUAUAUUUUGAGUCAUUAUUCUUUUGAGACGUUUUGCCACCCUAUAUUUUCUCUCAAUGUUUAAUGAAGAAAAAUAAGAGCAAUGAAAUAAUUGAGCACCAAGACAUAAAGUUGAAUUCACAUUGAAACCCAGAAGUGGCAUCAAUAAUGUUGUUGAAAUAGAAAAUAAUAUAAAUGAAGGAAAUGAGUAAGAAAAGUAAAUAUACAACAGAAGAAAAAAUGUAGGAAAUUUCAUAGAAAAUCACACCAAUAAUCAUCAAUCUUUCCUCUCAGGUACAUAAUAUUUCAUUAAAUAAAAUUUCUCUUGUGUUUAUUUACCGUACAAACAUUUAUUUACAACAAAAAUAUUCCUUUUAUCACUCACACAUUUUAUUAUUUUAUCAAAUUUAGCAACAAAAAAACAAAGUAUUGGUAAAAAAUUUUUUGAGUAGAAAUUGUUAAAUUUUUGUGUUUAUCAAUUCGACAGAAGAAGAUCAUUAUUUUGGUGUGUUUGGGCAUCCUUUUGAUUAUCAUUGCCGCAACGAUAGCCGGAUAUUUUGGCUUUUGAAUUCAUCAUCACGCAUUGAGAUCACAAAUUGGAUAUCUGCAUGUUGAACAGAAUAAAAUAUUUUUGAGACAAAAAAGAAAAUUCGACAUAAAGGAAAAUUUUACAAAAUUAAGUUUUUUCAUUUCUGAGUCCAUCCCUCAGUAUUUUUUUAUGUUUUCAUAUUAAUUUCUAUAGAGAAAAGUGAUGUUGAGUUUUGAGUUUUAGAAAGGAAGUUUUCUAAAAUAAUGUUAAAACAUGUUAAAAUGAAUUUUAUGUAUAAAUUCAUAAUGCGAAGUGCUUUUGAUUCUUUUUUUCUCAUUUAUUCAUUAUAAUUCAUAUACUAUUGUAGCUGAUUUUACACAUCAAGAAAAUUAAAAAAAAAAAUGUGUCUGAUGUGAGGAAAAAAGGGGAAAAAAGAUAAAGGAGGGAAAUUGCAGUGGUGGACAAGAAAAUAGAGCCCAGUCGUAAAAAUCGAGGAGAUAUGUUUUAAUUUCAUUUCAGCAUUGCAACUAACUAGAAUUUGUUUAACAAUUUUUUUUGUUAACUUGUUUCAGGUUUUAUUAAAAUUAAUUUUGUAAAUUUUCUGAUACGAUUUCUUUUUAGUUUGAUGAAUGUUAACCUGCUCAAACGUUAAAUUCAAUAUAAUUUUGAAUAAAUGAAGAAUCUCGUAAGUAAUAGAUUUCUUUUAUUAGAGAAAUGUACGUAAAUAUCGGGUGCUAGGGGUGCUAGUAAUGCUGAAUUGAUAAAAGAGAACAAAAAGUUGUUAAAAGGCACAAGAUGAUAGUUGUGUGCUAUGAUAGUCGUGAAACGCCUUACGUUUGAAAAUUGAGUUUGGCAGAUUAAAUGGGGUUUGUCAAAUAUGUUAGAGGAGAUAUCGUUCGAUUUGCUGUGUCUUAACUGCAUUUUGAAGGCUUUUUGUGAAAGCAUCAAGCCUUUAAAUAUUCUACAAAAGAUUCUCUCACGAUCUUUAUGGAAAAUCAUUCAAGCGAAUGCAUUUGGAAAUACUCUUAUUUAUCAAUUUUAUUGAUUUCUUUAAUGACUAAAAUUACUUCUCAAAAUCUUUUUACAAAGUGGCUCUAUUUUCUUGUCCACCACUAUGUUCUAUGCGUAUAAAAUUGUUAAAAUUCCAGGAAAGAAUGGAAAGAGUUGUAUGGAUUUUUAAGUUACUUUAAAGCUGAUAUAAGAAAAAAAGAAGAAUGAAAAAGCAAGAAAAGUGUUGUGGGCUUGUAGUGAUUUUUGAUUGAGUAGAUGAACCAACAAAAUGAAAGAAAAGGAGGAAGAAAUUGGAAACAAAACAAAGCAGAUGCGUUUUAGCAAUAAUAUUAUAUAUAUUUAAAUGAAGGAAAGUAAUAUACAUAAAAAAAUUGAUUAAAAAAUAUAUAUAAACGACGUUACACUAUUUGUAAUUUCGGAAAAUUGAGCGCGAAAAUGUAAAAAAUUUGGUUCUUCUGGAAGCAAAAACAAAAAAAAAAGAAUGAAAUUAUAAAAAGUGUAAUUCCUUUUUCUGCCAUUGAAUGAAUUUUGCAAUUAAAACAUGAAUGUCUUUUGCUCUCAAAAAGAAUGGUUAAAAAAAAUGUGAAAAAAUUGAGAUAAAAAAAACAAUCUUGCAAUAGCGCAUCAAAGUGAAUUAAUUAUAGGAUUCAAUUUUCUGGAACUAUAAGAUAGGGAAGCAGUUCAAGAAGAUGUGUGAUAACAUUUAUCUUCAAUUUAUAUUUAAAAAAAGAAAAAAAUAUAUAUAGAAGACGGUGGGAGGAGUAUAAAAAAAUUAGAUGAUAGAACAUUAUUUAUUAUAAUAUUUAAUAAAUUUUACAUUUUGGGAAUAUAAAUAUUGAUGAACAGUUCAUGUUGGCGAUUGAACCAGUGAAAAAAGAUGUAUAUUUCAUGGAAUGAUAAGCAAAUGGAAGAAGAAAAAAAAACUCAGAAUUUUAGUAAAAACAUAAAAAAAGAAACUUUGUUAAUAUUUUGCAAUCAUGUAAAAAAGAUAAUUUUUAGAAAUGAACUUCCUUUAGUUGCUGAGAGACACACUAUAACAUACACGGAAAAAAAGAACUAAUAAUAAAAAACUAACAUGUGAGAAGAAAUGAAGAGGAGCAGUAAAAGUGCAGAAAAUCAAUACAUUUUAGGAAUACGAUAAGGAGUUUCGUAUAUAAUAAUAUUUUUUCUACAUACAAUCUCCCAUAUCUGUGUACAUUCUUCGCUAUACGGCAUUAAUCAAUGGUGAAUUAUUGAAAAAAAAAAAUAAAAGGAAGAACAGAAAAUAGGACUACGGUAUUUCAUCACGUGAUGGAGAAAAUGAUAUAUAAUAUUCUAGUCACACCAAAAGGAAAGCUUAAAUAAUGUAUUGGACAAAAAUUUAAUUUCACCAAAUAACAGAAAAAUAUCAAAUCACAGAUGCUAGAAAUUACUUAUACGAUUACAUUUCUUGUCUCUCUCUCCCCUUAAUGCAAUUUUAAAUGAAAUUGUAUAUUGCAAAAUCCAUUUCUUCGAACUUAUUGUAGAAAAUAAACACCACAACAGAAGAUAUAAACCAUACUAAAACCGAGACUAAAGUGGCAGGAAAUACUACAAAAAAUAACGAAGAGUUUCCAAAAAUGAAGCUGUAUUUAUUUCUUUUUUUUCCUUACUUAAAAGUCGAUAUGUUGAAGCGGAUGUCACAUUUUAUUCCCAUGAGGAAGUUCUCUAGUUUGUUAACUUUCUGUUUAGAUUAAAUAAAAAAGACCAGACGAGUAUGAUUCUUCAGUGUAAAUCAGGUCAGAUUUUCACAAGCAUCGUGAUUUUGUGAAUUUCUGUCCCUAAUUUUUCAAUCCAUAUAAAUCAAAAGAGCUUUUCCAAAGCUUUCAAAUAAUUUCUGUAUAAGUUUGAUAAACAAAUAGAGCUCUCUAUCUAUUAAGUUGUGACAUCUGCUUAACGUUUCUUGAAUAUUUUUAGUGUAUAAUGUUAAUUAUUUCUUUUACUAUUUAGCUCUCAUAGAGGGUAUUAGUUGAUGCAGUAUAUUGCAUUGAAAUAUUAAUGAAAUACAAUCUUUGAUUUAAGUAAAAUUUAAGGGAUGGUUUGAUUCUAUGAAUUUCGUGUUUUAAAUGGUUUAUUUGAUUUUAACAAUUUUUAGAAGAAUGUUAACAUGCUCAAAGGUGAGAUUUUUAUAAGCUGAAUGAAAUGAAUGAAAAUCAGCAAAGAAUACCUACAUUUCUUUUAUUUAUUUCAAGUAAAUUAAGUAAAGGUUAGGAUUUACAAAUCGCGUAAUUAAAGUCUCAGCAGAAUCUCAAAAAAAUUCAAUACCUGAUGAAGUGGAGAAACAAACUCAAAACAACAAAUAAACGAAUAAUAGUCAAUGUCAACACAAUCAUAAUAAAAUCAUCUAAAAAGCGACUUUCAGGAAUUAAACCUUCCCUUGAAUGUAUCGUUAUAUUAAACUAAUUUGUACAUACUUAAACAGAACUUCUUAUAUACAUAUAGCAAAAGAAUUUGCCUAAUUUGUUAUAUAUAGAGCAAGAACAAAACUUACAUUUUGUAAUAAAGGACAUUUUCCGCGAGGUAUUGUGUAGGAAGAGAAAUAAAAGAACCAUAUCAUAUAUUAAUGAAAAGAAAAACUUUAAAAGAAAAAUACUUAAAAUACAACAACGGACAGCAAUAUGUAUAAAAUACAUAGAGGACCCUUUUUUUCGGUUAUCGAAGAUCAAUAGCAACAAAAAUUUGAGAGAGAACCAAAAACUUCUCGAUAAAUAACUUCGUCCUAGAAUGUGUGUCAUGUUACUUCUUCAUUUGUGACGUUUAUGCUUUUCUUUUUGCCGCUAUAUAAUUCUCUAUUUAUUCUUUUCUUUCCCUUUUCCUCUUGAAAAAAAAAAGGAAAUUUUUAUUGCAGACUAUUGCGCAGAAAUAGAAAAAAAAGAGAAAAUAAAUUUUUCAUAUUAUAUAGAAAUUUAUACAGAACAUAGAAAAAAUUGAAAGUUAAACAUUUAGAAAAUGAAUUAAAGAAAAGCGAGAAUCUCUUGAUGACUUUCUUACCAAAAAAAAAGACACCAAUCUUAUUGUAAAGAUAUAAAAUGUAAAAAGGAAAAUUUAGUUCUAAGUUGAAUGUUCUUUUUGUUUUCAUUGUGUUUUCAUUUUUGCAAUUUUUGUCUUCCCUUUUAUCGCUAAAUUGUGUAUAAAUUUUGUGAAUUAUUAAUAAUCCAAAAAAAAAGUAAAAUGCGUUCUUCUGUAGAUUUAAAAAAAGAGAGAAAAUUUGAAAGAUUUUCGUGAGGAGUACCCAUAAAUUUAUGUGUUCAGGUGGGGAUAAAGUCCAAUAAAAAAAGAACAAAGUUAAGGAACAAUUUCCAUGAGACAUUUUAAAAGGAAAAAAUAAAUUUUUAAUUUUGCAUUAAAGUGGCAUUUUUCACUGAAUACGCAACUUUGCAAAAUGAAUUUGCUAUUGAGCCAAUAUUGUGAUUAAAAAGGCGUAUUCAGACUUAUUUUUGUGUGGGGAAAUUUAGGGCCAAUGAUAGAAUGUUUAUCUUUAGGACAUUUUAAAACUCAAAAAACAUUUUCGAACAAGAAUUCUUGUCUCUGCUUUUAAAUAAAUCGGAUAAUAUAGCUGCGUGUCCAAAUAAAAUUUGAUAAAUUUCAAUUUUCUUUACGUAAUUCCAUGAAAAAUUUAAUCCAAAUAGCGAUUAAUUCACUUUUAAACAAACCAUAAAAUAUUAAAUUUGUUAAUUCCAAAGAAGACCUUCUCUCUGAGUUAAUCGCAUUAAUUUCACAUUUAUCUACUUUCAAACAACAUUCAACCACAUUUUUUAAUUUUUUUUCGUUGCAAUAAUUUAAUAUGUACAAUUUGAAGAAAAAACAAUAUUAAUAUUUAGAAAAAAAAUGUAGUGUAAUAUAAACAACUAGUGAAAAAAUUUUUAAGCUUUCAAGAUGAUAAAAAAAAAUCUAAGAAAAAUAUUAUAUUGAAGACAAAAAAAUUAAAAGAAAAUUAAUAGGAUAUUAAAAUAAUUCUAAUAAAAUAAAAAAAAGUGAGAUAGAAUCACAUGAAGCCCAUCGUUAAAUAAUGUAAUUUGAAGCUAUAUUGUGAGAUAUAUUUAAAUAAAAUCAGAAAUAUACUGAAAAAAAAGCAUUUAAUCUUCAAGUAUAUAAAAAAGCUUCAUAUUAAGAUAAAAAUGAGAAAAAAAUACAAAAAACAAAAUGAUUUAUUAUUGUCGGUUCUUAUCGUUCAAAUACUUGCACAUGUUUAUUAAAAAAAAAUGAAAAAAUAUAAAUAUAUACAUAAAACCUAUAUAUAAUCUGAUGAAAUCGUAGGAUUUUUAUGUUCUCGCAGUGAAAUAAAAAAAAAUGAAGAAAAAAAAUCAAGUGAGACAAACCACGAAAGAUCUUGAGGAAAAAAAAUUAUUAAUUAAAAAAAUACAAAGUGAAACUUUUGAAAACUUGCAAAACUUACAAAAAAAAUUUCUAUAAUACUUCUACUAAAUAAAUAAAAAAUAUGCAGCAAAGUAAUUAUAUAUUCAUGUCAAUUCUUAAUUAAAAAAUUCUUUACAAAAAAAAAAUGUGAGAAAAAAAAUUGAAAAAAGAAUAAUCGUAUUGAAUUUUCAAUACGAUAUAACGCGCGGGAAGAAAUCUUUUACAAGAUGAGGUAAGAAGGUGCGCGGCAAAACAAUUAAAAGAUUAAUAAAAUAACAGCUAAAAGGAACAAAAUAAGAUCAACAGAGAAUGAGAGAAUUAAUUUGUUCCAAAGUGGGGAAAGAACAGCCCAAGAAAAAAUCUUAAGAUCAAGACAAAAUGUUAAAAAAAAUAUACACAUUGUAAAAAAAACUCAAAACUAAAAAAAAACUAAACCACUGAACAUCAUCGAUCAUGUGAAUAUUUAAAAGAAAAAAAUAAACAAGUAGAUGAAGAAAAGGAUGAAAAAAAAACAUUUAAAGGACACGAUCAUAGAGGAAAGAAAUCUAAAUAUAUAUUACUAUAUAUAUUUAUGAGUAUAUAAAGCAAGCAAAAAAAAACAUUUAACUGCAUCUCGUAUGCAUUAAAGUGAGAAUAAUAAAUCGUAUGUGUACUUAUUGUGUUUAA